CCGACUUCGUCAAGUCGAGAUGCUCGUCGUCUCCCUCCCUCAGAACUUCCCUCGUUCCUCAAACACAGGGAAGGAAGAACUUGGAGAAUGUUCCUGAGAGUUUGUGACAACGUUCAUGAAGACAAAGAAAAGACAGGAAAAAAUGUUUGUAGGUAUUUCUACCAGUCCAGUGCUUUCAAACAUCAGAUGUUCUACUGGCUCAUCAAUCCAGUUGAAGCUACUGGAGCAUGUAAAUGCCACUGCACCUGCUCCUCUGCUCAUUGCUAUAAGGAUGCUCUUCAGCAUAGCCUAAUAAAUAUUUUGGUCUCUCUAUUCUGAUGUUACUAAGGAGAAAAACUACUUCCUGCAGAAUCUUACUCCCCUAUCUACUCAUAUAGAUCCAGGUGAUGUAAAGAUCAUGGAUGUAACAAGUAGUA
rnacentral:lncRNA from 1 species